AAUGCAACAUCAAUCUCAGCACAAACAACACAAAUGUUACAAAGGUCCAUAUUUUCAUACUUGUGGAUGAAUAAUUAAGUGUUCUUCAAAAAAUGACCAAGCCAUCUUUCGUUUUUGGUCACUAAUACCACUUACAUACAUAUUAUUGUAUUAAAUUUACUUUAGUGUCAUUUACCUUAUACUUUUUACUUUAAUGUCAUUUACUGUAUGCUUUAAUAUCUCAUAUCAUAUUAUUUAUACUUAUGUUAUUUAUUCUUUGUCCAUUUGGACUCCCAUUUUAUUGAAAAAAACACAUUAAUAAAGAAAAAAACCUAAAAAAGAACUUGGUUCUUC
rnacentral:lncRNA from 1 species